rnacentral:misc_RNA from 1 species
AAAGGACAAAACAGUUCUCAACUAAAAUUUGGUGGUUCAGCAUAUCUGAUGCAACAGUAGAAACUGAGUUGCUGGAAGUAGGAACAAAUGCUGAGGUAAAGAUUUGCAAGAUAAGAACAACAAUGGAUUUAGGCUCCAAAAUAACAAAGAAAACUUCAAAUAGCAACAAAAGUACAGAAGCAAAAAUAAUCCCAGAAGUCAGAACUAAAUAACAGUUCAUAAAAGAUAAGAAGAGAA